CAGUCGCCACGGGAAUACGAAGGGGGCUAGCGUUGUUCGGAAUUACUGGGCGUAAAGCGCACGUAGGCGGACAUUUAAGUCAGGGGUGAAAUCCCGGGGCUCAACCUCGGAACUGCCUUUGAUACUGGGUGUCUUGAGUGUGGAAGAGGUAAGUGGAAUUGCGAGUGUAGAGGUGAAAUUCGUAGAUAUUCGCAGGAACACCAGUGGCGAAGGCGGCUUACUGGUCCACAACUGACGCUGAGGUGCGAAAGCGUGGGGAGCAAACAGGAUUAGAUACCCGCGUAGUCCCUGUCUCUUAUAC
rnacentral:rRNA from 1 species